rnacentral:rRNA from 1 species
UAAUGGCCUACCAAGGCGACGACGGGUAGCCGGCCUGAGAGGGCGACCGGCCACACUGGGACUGAGACACGGCCCAGACUCCUACGGGAGGCAGCAGUGGGGAAUAUUGCACAAUGGGGGAAACCCUGAUGCAGCGACGCAGCGUGCGGGAUGACGGCCUUCGGGUUGUAAACCGCUUUCAGCAGGGAAGAAGCGAAAGUGACGGUACCUGCAGAAGAAGUACCGGCUAACUACGUGCCAGCAGCCGCGGUAAUACGUAGGGUACGAGCGUUGUCCGGAAUUAUUGGGCGUAAAGAGCUCGUAGGUGGUUGGUCACGUCUGCUGUGGAAACGCAACGCUUAACGUUGCGCGUGCAGUGGGUACGGGCUGACUAGAGUGCAGUAGGGGAGUCUGGAAUUCCUGGUGUAGCGGUGAAAUGCGCAGAUAUCAGGAGGAACACCGGUGGCGAAGGCGGGACUCUGGGCUGUAACUGACACUGAGGAGCGAAAGCAUGGGGAGCGAACAGGAUUAGAUACCCUGGUAGUCCAUGCCGUAAACGUUGGGCACUAGGUGUGGGGGACAUUCCACGUUCUCCGCGCCGUAGCUAA